rnacentral:rRNA from 1 species
ACGAAGGGGGCUAGCGUUGUUCGGAAUUACUGGGCGUAAAGCGCACGUAGGCGGAUAUUUAAGUCAGGGGUGAAAUCCCAGAGCUCAACUCUGGAACUGCCUUUGAUACUGGGUAUCUUGAGUAUGGAAGAGGUAAGUGGAAUUGCGAGUGUAGAGGUGAAAUUCGUAGAUAUUCGCAGGAACACCAGUGGCGAAGGCGGCUUACUGGUCCAUUACUGACGCUGAGGUGCGAAAGCGUGGGGAGCAAACAGG